rnacentral:rRNA from 1 species
GAAGAACGCUGGCGGCGUGCCUAAUACAUGCAAGUCGAGCGAAUGGAUUAAGAGCUUGCUCUUAUGAAGUUAGCGGCGGACGGGUGAGUAACACGUGGGUAACCUGCCCAUAAGACUGGGAUAACUCCGGGAAACCGGGGCUAAUACCGGAUAACAUUUUGAACCGCAUGGUUCGAAAUUGAAAGACGGCUUCGGCUGUCACUUAUGGAUGGACCCGCGUCGCAUUAGCUAGUUGGUGAGGUAACGGCUCAACAAUGCAACGAUGGGUAGCCGACCUGAGAGGGUGAUCGGCCACACUGGGACUGAGACACGGCCCAGACUCCUACGGGAGGCAGCAGUAGGGAAUCUUCCGCAAUGGACGAAAGUCUGACGGAGCAACGCCGCGUGAGUGAUGAAGGCUUUCGGGUCGUAAACUCUGUUGUUAGGGAAGAACAAGUGCUAGUUGAAUAAGCUGACACCUUGACGGUACCUAGCCAGAAAGCCACGGCUAACUACGUGCCAGCAGCCGCAGUAA